AGAACGGACAUUUCCUUUCAUGCGCGUCUUUCCAGUCACGUUGUGCAGCAUUAUGGACUAUUUAAUGACCAUUUUCAUACUGACAGUCGCUCCAGCAGUUGGACAGAGUGACAUUAAGACAGUGACUGGGACGGCUGGACAGAACAUCACUCUGCACACUGGAGUUACUGGACUACAUGGAGACUAUCAAGUCAUCUGGUCUUAUGGGUCAGAGAAUCACGUCCUGUUCAACUUUGAUAGAGGAGAUGUGCCGACGAAACACAAAGAUUCCACCUGGACCCAGAGACCGGAUCAUUGACCAUCCUGUCCCUCAGCACCAAAGACAAUGGACUUUACCAGGGACAGAUCAUCAAUGGCAAUGGGUCAAUGCACAAGUUUAACCUGACUGUUGUUGAGGCUGAUCCCAUCACACCAACCAUCGGACCUCCACACAGUGUUACGGCUGGCCAGAGGAACCAUCAUGCUGUUGGUGUAUCACUUGCAUUAUUUGGCCUUGUGUGCAUUGUGCUGUAGAAAGAGGAAGCUGCUAGGACAACAUCGUCUGAGGCCUGACAUCCAACUGUGACCUUCUGCUUCACCACACUUGACCUUCUAGACAGUUUCUGCUCACAACACAGCAUUGAAACAGCCGUCACCAAAGACAUCCUCCUCUCUGCAGUCUUUGGUCAGCUCAGCAUCCUCAUCCUCCUGGACCUCACUGAAGCAUUUGACACCAUUAACCACACCAUUCUUCUCUCCUGUUCAUCCACAUCAAAAAUGGGUCAGCUUAGGUGUCUUGGUCCCCGCCAGAAGUACAACUUCAGUCAAAUUGUCUUCAAGAAGUAAAGCAGGAUUCAUCAAAGCUGGCUGUAGAUGAACUUUAUUUUCUUCAUAGACAAACAAAGCCUGAGUCUCUCAUGGAUAGACUGAUCUGUCUGUCCCCAAACAUCUCCCUUUAAACCCUCAAAUGUUAUAUAACCAUAGCAUAAGUCCAGCCCAUCUUCCCCCAUCUAUGACGUAAUGGUGUAAAUCCAUCAAACUUUGGGGACUUUCCCCUUAAUGGUGUCUAAAUUCUUCAGGCUAUAUCACCCCGUCCUUUGCACACACUUUCUGUCAGGCCUUGAGCAUGUCUUCCAGCAUGAUUCACAGUGUGAUGCCCUAAGGGCAUCCUGAGUGUGUCCCUUCCUCCUCUCCUGGGUGUGGUUUCUUUGUCUGCAGGUGUUUAUGACACAGCAGCCAGGCACUCACUUUCUUCUGCUCUCUCUGGCUCUGCCCUGUACUGGGCUCCUCUGCUCCCAGUAUGGUUGGUUGGUUUUUAAUGUGUCCUAAUUUGAUUUAAUAAAGAAUAGUUUAAACAGAUGUACAUGGUGUGGACUCAUGUCAUGACAACAAGCUUCAGGCUCUGUGGCCUGCAAUGUGCCAAGCUUCUCU